CCUACGGGACGCAGCAGUGGGGGAUAUUGCACAAUGGGGGGAACCCUGAUGCAGCGACGCCGCGUGGGUGAAGAAGCGCCUCGGCGCGUAAAGCCCUGUCAGCAGGGAAGAAAAUGACGGUACCUGAAGAAGAAGCCCCGGCUAACUACGUGCCAGCAGCCGCGGUAAUACGUAGGGGGCAAGCGUUAUCCGGAUUUACUGGGUGUAAAGGGGGCGCAGACGGCGAUGCAAGCCAGGAGUGAAAGUCCGGGGCCCAACCCCGGGACUGCUCUUGGAACUGCGUGGCUAGAGUGCAGGAGGGGCAG
rnacentral:rRNA from 1 species